rnacentral:rRNA from 1 species
UACAGAGGUCUCAAGCGUUGUUCGGAUUCAUUGGGCGUAAAGGGUGUGUAGGUGGCGCCGUAAGUCGGGUGUGAAAUUUCGGAGCUUAACUCCGAAACUGCAUUCGAUACUGCGGUGCUUGAGGACUGGAGAGGAGACUGGAAUUCAUGGUGUAGCGGUGAAAUGCGCAGAUAUCAGGAGGAACACCGGUGGCGAAGGCGGAUCUCUGGGCCAUUACUGACGCUGAGGAGCGAAAGCGUGGGGAGCGAACAGG